rnacentral:rRNA from 1 species
UACGUAGGGGGGCAAGCGUUUGUCCGGAGUACUGGGCGUAAAGCGCACGCAGGCGGUCAUGUAAGUUUUGGAGUGACAGUGCCCGGCUUUAAACUGGGGCAAGUGCUUCGAAAAACUGCACGACUUUGAGGGGCUUCAGAGGGGACACGGAAUUCCGGGUGUAGUGGUGAAAUGCGUAGAUAUCCGGAGGAACACCGAAGGCGUAGGCAGUGUCCUGGGGGAGUACCUGACGCUCAGGUGCGAAAGCCCAGGGGGAGCGAAACGGGG